GUUAAAGAAAUCAAGAAAGAUAUGAAUAAUCAGCUAGCAGAGAUGAGUAAACAAUGGGGAAAAAAAUUGCAAAUGAAACCUGCAGCACAAGGUCUACAACAAAAUGAUACAAUCUAACGCUUGUGAAGGAGUUAUAAAAGCAUCAAGGUCGACGGGCACAUGAAAUUUUUUUCCCCUUGUCAAACCUUGUUGAUAUGUUUCAAACGAUGUUUUAAUAUUUGAAUUGAUAUUGUUGAACC